AGUGAACGCUGGCGGUAGGCCUAACACAUGCAAGUCGAACGGCAGCACAGUAAGAGCUUGCUCUUACGGGUGGCGAGUGGCGGACGGGUGAGGAAUACAUCGGAAUCUACUUUUUCGUGGGGGAUAACGUAGGGAAACUUACGCUAAUACCGCAUACGACCUACGGGUGAAAGCAGGGGAUCUUCGGACCUUGCGCGAUUGAAUGAGCCGAUGUCGGAUUAGCUAGUUGGCGGGGUAAAGGCCCACCAAGGCGACGAUCCGUAGCUGGUCUGAGAGGAUGAUCAGCCACACUGGAACUGAGACACGGUCCAGACCCCUACGGGAGGCAGCAGUGGGGAAUAUUGGACAAUGGGCGCAAGCCUGAUCCAGCCAUACCGCGUGGGUGAAGAAGGCCUUCGGGUUGUAAAGCCCUUUUGUUGGGAAAGAAAAGCAGCAGGUUAAUACCCCGCUGUUCUGACGGUACCCAAAAAAUAAGCACCGGCUAACUUCGUG
rnacentral:rRNA from 1 species